UGCCCCAGCGUGGUCCAACGAGCAGUGCCACGUCCGCGCCCAGGAUUCGAACCAACGAAACACUGGGCCGCCUGCAGCGGAGCGCGCGAACUUAACCACUCGGCCACGGGGCCAGCCCCUCCAGUUUUUACUCCUUGAUUUUACAACCCUCCAUAGCUUCAGAGACAGGACAACUCUAGGAUUUUUUUCCUCAAGCCCCAUACUUCCAGAGGAAUGGAUCCUUUCUGAGGCUCAGUGGCUGACAUGGCCCCUACCUGACAGUCAGGGAGCAGACAUGGGCGGAGGGGGGUGCCGGGAAGUCUGAGGGUGCUGGUAAGUGGGAACAGCCAUGUGAUGGAAGUCUGAGGAUGUUACUGUAAAGAUCCACAGGCAGGGGGAGACCUGGGCUCUGGGCCCAGCUCUGCCGUCUGCAUGCUGCAGAGUGUGGACAGACCACUUCACCACACCCCAUGCAGUUGCUAACCUGCAAUGAAAGGAGAACACCAGCCCUCCUCUUAGUCCCAGAUGCUCCUAGCUGUGCGGAUUAAAGGCAAUAUGGUACCCCCUUCCUGUCCUCUGACCCUGUCAUCUCUCCUCCAGGGUUUAGCUUCUAGUUCCCACAGGGCACUCCCAAAAAAUCUGCUUAUCUUUGGGAAAGGGCUAGUGGACAGAAGCCAGAGGCAACAGCUCUGGGAUUGAGCCCAGAGUUUCUGCGUCUGUUUGCUGCCAGCUGCUCCUCAUGUGGGCCCUACUUAGCGCCUGCUCUGAAAGCCUCUUGGAACACGCAGCUGGAGCCUGAUGGGGAUGGCCUGGUGCGGCCCCUGUCACCCUCACCCUUCGGGGUUGCCUGGCUCUGCAGAGCCACUGGGGUCUCUGCUGACCCUCAGUGCUGGGGAGGGCCUGCAGCCUCAGGAACUUGUGAGCAUGGAGCCCUAAGGCCCCUCCCCUCUACAUUUUCUAGUACAUCUUCAUGGUCCUGAGAACUCACUUUCUGCAUUGUCUUUGUGCUCAGGAGGAUACCUUAACCUACAUUUGGAAGUCUCCCCCAAUUGUGAGGCUCCCCAAACCAGAACAAAUUGCUGAGUAGGUGAGAGGUUCUCUUCAACAAGUGUAGGGCUGACCCUAGCGGUUAUGGCAGAGAGAAUGAGAGGUUAUGAGAGUUUAUUCCAAAGCAGGAACAAGAGAGGAAAGUUUUAAAGUACAAAUGGAGAUUAGAGGAGGAAUGGAAAGAAUUACAAGUGGCAAGGAAGAAAAAAAUGGGGGACGAAAAGAGGGAAAGCAGAAAGGAAGAGAGGUGAGGGGUGGGAAAGAACGUAUAAGCGAAGAAAUGGGAAGAGAAAAAAGGGGAAGGAGGGAAAAAGCCCGGAAAGGAUAUGACCUUUGUCCCAUUGCUGCCACUUACAGGCCCAGCCUCCCUUUCCAAGGUCAUUUCCAGCAGAAGUGUGAGUACUUCCCCCAGGUCUUUACAUCUUAAAUUCCUUAUAGUACAGGUCAGCUUCCUGAGCUCCAGCUGGCUGUUUGAGAACCAAGCAGCACUCCCGAAGGUGCCCAGCUCUGUGGUGCAGCUUGGCUCAGAAACAGAACAACACAGACAAGGAGAGGCGUGAGAAGUCCCAGAAUCUGGCCUGUUCCCUGCCAAAAAUCAGGAGGUCUUUCUGACCCGCCAGAGCCUUUGUUGCCUUCUGUGUGAAUGCAGACCCUGCUGCCUCUCCCCCUCCCUCCUGGCUGCCUGCUGACUUUCUUCUGUGGCCACAUGAAGAGUGUAGCUGUUUUAUAGACGUGUGAAUGUUGUGAAUGUCUACAGUAUCUGUUAGUAUCACUUGAGGAUGUUUUGUCUCUGCCAUAGGAAACAGAUAACAUUUUUCUAUUUUCUGUAUCUUUUGUUAGAUUAUGAGGUCAAAUCUGAGAUUGAAGAGUUGGUUCUAAAGCAGAAAGUGUCAGAAGAAACAGAGGUACACAGAAUCACCUCCAGAGAAUUUCAGAAUAAUGAGCCCCAAGAUUGCAGGAUUGGAGCAUUCAGAAACUGGGAUGACAGUUUGAAAAUUCAUCAGGGAAGUCCUGCCAGGGAGACGUUGAGGACAAGGACCAGAAACUUAAAGCCAGCAGAAGUCAAGGAUGCAGAAAUCUCCCCAGAGAAGGAGAGCCAGAAAGGCUGGAUCUGAAAUCUGGAAAGAAAUGUUGGAGAAAAAGUCCACAGCUGGCCUUGGGAGAGGAAGCUAAAAAUGGUCAAAGUGCUGGCCCUACCUUCUCCCAUUCCCUUCACUGGUGGGCAGUGGGGACAG